rnacentral:rRNA from 1 species
UACGAAGGGGACUAGCGUUGUUCGGAAUCACUGGGCGUAAAGCGCACGUAGGCGGAUAUGUCAGUCAGGGGUGAAAUCCCGGGGCUCAACCUCGGAACUGCCUUUGAUACAGCAUAUCUUGAGUCCGAUAGAGGUGGGUGGAAUUCCUAGUGUAGAGGUGAAAUUCGUAGAUAUUAGGAAGAACACCGGUGGCGAAGGCGGCCCACUGG